UAGGGAAUCUUCCACAAUGGACGCAAGUCUGAUGGAGCAACGCCGCGUGAGUGAAGAAGGUUUUCGGACCGUAAAGCUCUGUUGUUGGUGAAGAAGGAUAGAGGUAGUAACUGGCCUUUAUUUGACGGUAAUCAACCAGAAAGUCACGGCUAACUACGUGCCAGCAGCCGCGGUAAUACGUAGGUGGCAAGCGUUGUCCGGAUUUAUUGGGCGUAAAGCGAGCGCAGGCGGAAGAAUAAGUCUGAUGUGAAAGCCCUCGGCUUAACCGAGGAAUUGCAUCGGAAACUGUUUUCU
rnacentral:rRNA from 1 species